rnacentral:rRNA from 1 species
UACCAGCACCCCGAGUGGUUGGGACGAUUAUUGGGCCUAAAGCAUCCGUAGCCGGUCCUACAAGUCUUCCGUUAAAUCCACCUGCUUAACAGAUGGGCUGCGGAAGAUACUAUAGGGCUAGGAGGCGGGAGAGGCAAGCGGUACUCAGUGGGUAGGGGUAAAAUCCUCUGAUCCAUUGAAGACCACCAGUGGCGAAGGCGGCUUGCCAGAACGCGCUCGACGGUGAGAGAUGAAAGCUGGGGGAGCAAACCGG